GAACGUGCGCUGACCCCACUGGUGGACGAAGUGAAGCAGAAGGGUCUGGCUCCUGCCUGCCCCAGUUGCCAGAGGCUACACAAGAAGAUUCUGCCCAGUCCAGUAAGCCCAGCGGCGCCUACACUCCUCUCCCCAGGAGCUGGAGCGCCAGGCCUUGGCCAAACACGUCAGGGCAGAGGCCCUGAGCUCCACCCUUCGGCUGGCCCAAGACGAAGCCGUUCGGGCCAAGAACCUACUGCUGACGGACAAGAUGAAGCCGGAGGAGAAGGUGGCCACUUUGGACUAUAUGCAUUUGAAGAUGUGUUCCCUCCACGACCAACUCAGCCACCUGCCACUUGAGGGGUCCACAGGGGCAAUGGGGGGAGGAAGCACUGGAGGGGCUCCCCCUAAACGUGGGGGUCCAGGCUCUGAACAAUAAAUGGCCUCUCAUGCUG
rnacentral:lncRNA from 1 species